rnacentral:rRNA from 1 species
ACGGGAUUAGAUACCCCGGUAGUCCUGNCCAUAAACGAUGGAUACUAGGUGUUAGAGGUAUCGACCCCUCUAGUGCCGCAGCUAACGCAUUAAGUAUCCCGCCUGGGGAGUACGACCGCAAGGUUGAAACUCAAAGGAAUUGACGGGGGCCCGCACAAGCGGUGGAGCAUGUGGUUUAAUACGUCACUAACCGUAGAACCUUACCCAGGCUUGACAUCUAGGGAAUCCUGAUGAAAGUCGGGAGUGCCUUUGGGAGCCCUAAGACAGGUGUUGCAUGGCUGUCGUCAGCUCGUGUCGUGAGAUGUUGGGUUAAGUCCCGCAACGAGCGCAACCCUCAUCCGAUGUUGCCAGCGUAAAGUCGGGAACUCUUCGGAAACUGCCCGUGUAAGCGGGAGGAGGGUGGGGGUGACGUCAAGUCAGCAUGGCCCUUACGCCUGGGGCUACACACAUGCUACAAUGGACGCUAACAAAGGGCAGCAAUACCGCGAGGUGGAGCGAAUCUCAUAAAUGCGUCCUCAGUUCGGAUUGUAGUCUGCAACUCGACUACAUGAAGUCGGAAUCGCUAGUAACCGCAGGUCAGCUAAACUGCGGUGAAUACGUUCCCGGGCCUUGUACACACCGCCCGUCACGCCACCUGAGUUGUCUGCACCCGAAGUCGAUGGCCUAACCGCAAGGGAGGAGUCGCCGAAGGUGUGGGGAGCGAGGGGGACGAAGUCGUAACAAGGUAGCCGUAUCGGAAGGUGCGACUGGAUCACCUCCUU